AAAGACCCUAUGAAGCUUUACUGUAACUUGAAAUUGAAAUUGGACUUUAUCUGCGCAGUAUAGGUGGGAGGCGUUGAAAAUAUUCUUGCGGGAAUACUGGAGCCAUCAGUGAGAUACCACUCCUAUAAUGUUAGAUUUCUAACUUUGUAUCAUUAUCUGGUCAAAGGACAGUUUCAGGCGGGCAGUUUGACUGGGGCGGUCGCCUCCUAAAUGGUAACGGAGGCGCACAAAGGUUUCCUCUGAACGGGUAGAAAUCGUAUCUAGAGUGUAAAGGCAAAAGGAAGCUUGACUGUGAGACUUACAAGUCGAGCAGGGACGAAAGUCGGUCUUAGUGAUCUGACGGUGCUGAGUGGAAAGGCCGUCACUCAACGGAUAAAAGUUACUCUAGGGAUAACAGGCUGA
rnacentral:rRNA from 1 species